UUUGUUUUUUCUUGCCUCUAUUAUUUGUGAUUCACCAUGUUCCCCAAUAGUUUCAUCUUCUUUCUGCCUGAUGUUAGAAGUUUGUUCUUUAUGUUGUUCCUUAUCUCCAAUAGUAUCUCCCCCUAGCUUCAUAUCAUUACCCUCUGUGUUUCCUUCUCCUACCCCAGUGUCAUUAUUGUCCUCUAGUGCUCCAAAUUUGUUAGCUAUUGUUACUAUUUAGGUCUAUUAAUCUCUCAAUAUUACUGUUGUUUCUAUCUAUAAUUUUGUUUAACUUAAAUUCAUAACUGGUUGUGUACUGAUAUUUUAAAAAAACAAUAAUUUAUAGAGAGAAACAACAGUAAUAUUGAGGGAAUAAAUAUAACAUUUUGUCUUUCUAAAUGAAUUAUUGAGCAAAGUUGUGUAAAUAUAUGUAACAUGCAUGAAUAUAUAUUCCAAUACCUCUAAUAAUUGUAGACAAGUUCUAGGAUGGACCAAUUCAGACGAAAUUCGAGCGAGGCGAAGUCUAGGGCCAUCCGAGAAUGGAUGAGGCAAAAUGUCAGGCUUGAUUUAUAACCAAGAACCCGUAGGACAUUAUUACAAAAUUGAUUUUGGGUGAGUAAAACUCCUAGAAUCAAACUUGGCAUGAAAGAGAUAUAAGGGAGAAAGGUAUGUUGAAAAAUGGACUUUUUAGGAAUUUUUGAGUCUCUAAAGUUCGUGCAAUCCGCUAUAGCGCGCGGUAGGCCACUAUAAUGGGAGAGUGCAUGCGCUAUGGCGGGGUGACAAUUGCUAUAGCGGGGUAAGUCAGGGUUUUACGCAGAAAAAGUCUCAAAACCUUUUAUUUUAUGCAUUAAUGUUUUUGAGUUUGAGAGGAGAAAAUUACGGCAAUUUCUACCCAAUUUUUCAUCAAAUUCAUCGGUAAAGGUAAGUUCAUUACUCCCCGAUCUUGUAAUUUGAUUCUUAAGCCUUAGAAUCUAGGGUAUUACUCUUGGGGGAAGAUUUUGAUUUGAUUUAGUGGUGGGAAAAAGCCUCGGGUCUGGUAGAAUGAUCAUGAAUUGGCCCGAGUUUAGGAUUUGGGUAUAAGUUGGAUAUAUUUAGGCCAUUUUUGAUUGAUUGUUGUUUUUAUUUAUUGCUUUAGACCAAGAACAAGCCAUGGCACCGAGAAAAGGGAAGGCUCGGAUUCUUUAGAGCAUUGAGGCUUAAUUUGAAAUAGGUAUAUAGUUGUAUGUUUUCAAGUUUAUGGAUGUACACAUGUCUACCACUUUAUAGUAUCACUUGUGUAAUGCAUGUUGGGCAAGACAUAAAAAAACAUAUGAAAUAUCAUCAUGUUGAUAAUCUCAUGCAGUGAACCUUUUUACUUUACUUAUGGUUUUAAGUGUUAUUAUUCAUUGUGAUUGUGAUUGUGAUUGUUUAUGAUUGUUUGUGAUUGCUGGUUGGCUCAGGUACCACACCGAUAUAUGAAUAAUAAUGGUUGGCUCGAUACCAUACCUCGUAAGAAUAUUAAUUCUAGUUGACUCGGGUACCAUGCCCAUACACUAACAGUUUGUGUGUGGGUUCCUUGAGAGGACCAGGUAUGUGUAUUUGUGGUUCCACGAUAGGGUGGGGUUCUUGUAAUUGUAAUCAUGUGGGACAUGUUCUAGGUAUUGGUUAAUUCAUGUUAUUGUGACUGUGAGUCUAUGUGAUUGUGAUUGUUGUUAUAUGUGUUGGCUAAUGUUUACUAUGUUGUGGUUAUUUGUUUACAUUCAUGAUUUGGAACUGACAGAGUGAUCCUACCAGUACACAGUACACUCUGGUUGUGUAUUGAUAUUGCACCUAUUUUUUUUUGUUGAGUACAUAACAUCUUUCAGGGGCUGAUAUGAGACCUCAGUUAAAGGAUGUUUGACUUUGAAUCCAAGGUGAGCUACUCUUCCAGACUGUCAUGGAUUCCUCUACAUCUUCUUGCCUAUCUUUUCAGACACAAACUUUAGAUUAUUAGUUUAUGUUUCCUAGCUUUCAGGGUUGCAUCCUCAUUAUUGACUAAAUAGAGUUUUGCUACUACGAUUUUCAGUUUCUAGAGGGGUGCUUGGCUUUAUUAAGACUUAAGAGCUUGACUUGUUACACGAAUAAUGCAUCGUACGUUCCAUAUAUAAAUUCAUUCUAUCUUUGUCUACCUUGAAUAUAUAAGAUUGUUAUUAAUUUAAGUUU
rnacentral:lncRNA from 1 species